rnacentral:rRNA from 1 species
GGGCGGUGUGUACAAGGCAAGCAGGGCUAAACUGACAACAAAACUUGUACGGCGCUGCACAGGUGUUAGGCCAUAAAAGCUCAGGCAUAAAAUCGGCACCAGCCAAGCGCCAAACCAAUAACAACUCAACUGUGCCGCGUGCACAGAGAAAUGUAACAAGUGUAUCAGCAGAAGGUUUAGCAGUAACAGCACAACGAUGCUGUGCCAAUAGCCCCAGAACAGAGCAACGACGAAUUUGGCUAACGCAGCCAACAGGCGGACCUAAAAAUCAUGCGCGCAUGGUAUCUAACUUAGUCAGCUCGAGCAAGCGGCGUCUUGAUCUGAGACUUUUCAGUUAGCCGAAGCCGGCACCGAAUUAAUCAGAGGCUCCUUAGAACAACCAGCGCAGUCCCAGGUUGACGCCGGAGAUUUCGAACUCAUAGCGUUUAAAAUCCGAUACAAAAAACUCGCGCCCGAGCACUUCGGCUUGACCACUGCCGCUAUUAAAUGCCGCCUUGCUAUAGCGAUAUGUGGCGUACAACUGAGUUUGCUCGGACAGUGGAUAGCUGUACUCAAGCUCGACGCCAAGCCGAUAGCUAUCGGCGGUUUGAUAAAACUCGGCUUGUUGCUCUGUACUGCUAACGAUGUGAAAAGCAAAGCGCGUAUCGGCUUCUAGCUUUGUCAGACUCAGCGCCAAACCCAGAUUGCCAAACUCAAACUUGUGUUCGCUGCUGCCUUGUACACUCCGCC